rnacentral:tRNA from 1 species
GUGGCACAAUGGUUAAUGUUUUGGCUACUAACUAAAAGAUUGGUGGUUCAAACCCACCC